rnacentral:rRNA from 1 species
AGAGUUUGAUCCUGGCUCAGAGCGAACGUUAGCGGCAGGCUUAACACAUCCAAGUCGAGCGAGAAAGGGGUUUCGGCCCUGAGUAAAGCGGCGGACGGGUGCGUAACACGUGGAUAAUCUGCCCUCUGCCGGGGGACAACAGUCCGAAAGGAUUGCUAAUACCGCAUAAGUCAAGCUGGCCUACGGGUCGGUUUGGGAAAGGGGGCGCCCGCAAGGGGCUCCCACCGGAGGAUGAGUCCGCGGCCCAUCAGCUAGUUGGCGGGGUAAUGGCCCACCAAGGCUUAGACGGGUAGCUGGUCUGAGAGGAUGAUCAGCCACACUGGGACUGAGACACGGCCCAGACUCCUACGGGAGGCAGCAGUGGGGAAUAUUGGGCAAUGGGCGCAAGCCUGACCCAGCCAUGCCGCGUGAGUGAUGAAGGCCUUCGGGUCGUAAA